rnacentral:rRNA from 1 species
AUGCCAAUUGAAUCAAUGUUAUUAGCUGUCAAUUUGAACUUUUUGGUAUUUUCCGUUUCUUUGGAUGAUAUGAUGGGUCAAUCAUUUGCUUCAUUAGUUCCAACAGUGGCAGCUGCGGAAUCUGCUAUUGGAUUAGCCAUUUUCGUUAUUACUUUUCGAGUCCGACGAGGUUUAAAGGUACCUUUUCCCGUUGUCUGCUUUGCCUUCGUACGACUUUCCUUGGCAAACUAUCCCAAAAAAGGAAUGGGCUUUUUCAAAAUCAAAGCGUACUCGUCAGGGUUGAGUUGA